rnacentral:lncRNA from 1 species
UCGAGUCCUGGGGGUAUUCAUACCUAAAAAAUAUAGUUGUGUGCCUAGAGCCAAGUCACGUUACCCCGAUAAUCUCAGUCAAUCCAUAAUCUAUAGAACUCAGUCAGUCAUGUGACUUAGGAAACCACCGAAAUCUCAUGAUCUCAGCAAAAUCUCUGAUAGUAAUGCUAUUCCAUCAGUCACCGGAAGUCAUUUACUCAGUCCAUGUACAGUUAGUUAAAUCAUGUUCAGUCUUUUCAGAUGGGAGUAGAAGUUAGCACCGAGUGAACCCAAGGAUGGAAACUCUCCUGCCAGUUUAGGGUGUGAUUCUUAGCAGUCAUCCUUGUGUAACAGAACUACGUAGCCAGCGUAGGUUGAGACAUCUUAACUUGUCAGACUAGGGUUGAUGAAGUGGCUUAACCUAUCAGUUUAGGAUUCCCACCGUUCUCAUUUGAGUACCUACCAUAUGAGGGUCACUUACUACUGUCCUUACCAGUGGCGCAGUAUUGACACCCGUCCAGUCGGGGCAGAGAUUGGUCCUCAACUUAGCUAUAUGCAUUAUUGAGGCAUGUCGCUUAUAUAACUACCUCCCACAGUUUUAGGCUUAGUCUCUAUAAAAGAACUCAGAUAGUUCUUCAGAUAUCAGUAUACCAGGACUACCA